CGUGUAGGCGGUCAGGUAAGUGGAAUGUGAAAUGCCCCGGCUCACCCGGGGACCGGCAUCCCAAACUGCCUGGCUUGAGUAUGGGAGAGGAUGGAGGAAUUCCUGGUGUAGCGGUGAAAUGCGUAGAUAUCAGGAGGAACACCGGUGGCGAAGGCGUCCAUCUGGCCCAAUACUGACGCUGAGGCGCGAAACGCUAGGGGAGCAAACG
rnacentral:rRNA from 1 species